rnacentral:rRNA from 1 species
GAUGAACGCUGGCUACAGGCUUAACACAUGCAAGUCGAGGGGAAACGACGGGGAAGCUUGCUUCCCCGGGCGUCGACCGGCGCACGGGUGAGUAACGCGUAUCCAACCUGCCUCUGACUGAGGGAUAACCCGUCGAAAGUCGGCCUAAUACCUCAUGGUAUCGUCUGCGGGCAUCCAACGACGAUUAAAGAUUUCAUCGGUCAGGGAUGGGGAUGCGUCUGAUUAGCUUGUUGGCGGGGUAACGGCCCACCAAGGCUACGAUCAGUAGGGGUUCUGAGAGGAAGGUCCCCCACAUUGGAACUGAGACACGGUCCACACUGCUACGGGAGGCAGCAGUGAGGAAUAUUGGUGAAGGGGCGAGAGCCUGAACCAGCCAAGUAGCGUGCAGGAAGACGGCGCUAGGGGUUGUAACCUGCUUUUAUGCGGGGAUAAAGUGAGGGACGGGUCCCUCAUUGAAGGUACCGGAUGAAUAAGGACCGGCUAAUUCCGUG